CUUCCCACUUUCCACGAUAAAAGAAAAAAAGAAAAUACCAAAUUCCCACGUCUUGAAGACUUGAACUGAUCUAUUUGCCAGAAUCUCUCCCUUCUUUUGUUUACCUAUCUCUCUCUCUCAUCUCUCUCGCUCUCUCCAAUUAUCAAAGGCAAAAAAAAUUCAGAAGACCGAAUUCUGGUUAUAAAGGAAUCCAACCCAAGCACGAUGAAACAACCGACUUCGUCCUCUUUGAUGAUUUUCUGCAAGUUUGCUGUGAUUUCCCAGGGUCAUUUGAAAUUGAGAUAUACGACAUGAGGUCAAGGCGUUUCGUGAGGAGUCAAAAGCUUUCUGUCGCACUUUUAAUAUCCUAUUGGGUCAGAUUUUCUCUCUUCUUUGUAAGUUUACUAAGAAGAUUAUGUAUUUGAUUGAAUUUACCCCAUUCAUGAUAAGGGGGCCUAUCUCUUAUGGGUCUGAGGAAUUUAUUUGCUGUUGAACAGAUUUCACAGAUGACAAGUCAUCUCUGAAUGUGAAUUGCCAUCGAUAUGACCCUUCUUAUGUGUUUGUAUUUCAUUCCUAUAUGUUAUCUUAAUGGUUCCACCACUAUUGUCUUAUUUGUCUGCUAGUUAACUUAUAUGGAACAAAAGACUCUUCUUUUUAUUUUUAAUUUUUUGAUUAUCUUGGUGACCAUUGAAAAGUCCACCAUACGGUUUGGCUUUAUCUUUUCACAUCAACAUGGUUUUAGGGGGUUUAAGAUUUUAGUGUAAAGUUCAGAUGUGUAGUUGAGUAGUGCAUAACCUCAUUUAGCUGUUUUUGGUGCUCUAUAAGACUGAGGAGAAAGUAUGGAACAAAACAUUGACAUUGAUGUUUCAUGAGGUACCUAAUAUAAUUUAGACUUGAGCUUUAGUAUUUAUUGACUGAUAGAUAGUGCUUCAUCUAUUGCUGAUGUUUAUAAGCAUCUCAUUCAAACCAUUCUAAUGAGUAUAGACAUGAAGUGAAUUUGUGAUCAAGAUGCCUGAACGUAACUAAUGUAUUGUUCCCUGGACUUUGCAUUGCUGUUUUAGCUCAGAAUGCAACUUCCUGCACUCUUUUCUGGUUAUGAUAAUAGAGGAAUGAUUGAUGAAUUGGCUCUCGAAGUAAGCUUUUCAUAUCUUGCUUUUCAGAGAGAUUUUAAAGUGCAAGAGGAUAGAAAACACAGGAAGACAUAUAAGGCUCUAGGUGAUUCUGAACAAAAGCUUCAGUUCUUUUCAGCUACACAAAUAGCAUGCCGCUUGCUUGGAAGUAGAGGCUACCUUUGUCAAAAGGAAAAAGCAAUGUUUGGUGCCUCUAUCCCAACAAAAAUGUUGUGUUGCAGGAUGUCUUUGGCCAAUAAUCUUCAGCUGAUCUGGAAGCUAAAUUGACCAAGGUAUUAUUGUUUCAGUGCUGUGUUGUGGGUGUUCUGUAUGAGGAGUAUUUGCUAAGUACCACUCUUGCUAGUCGUGUUUUUUUAAUGGCACAUAAAAAAAAAAAAUCUAAUAUCAAUGUGCUUCUUACAUGGUGAUCCCAUUACAUUUCCUGAAGAAGAGCCAUAACUAGUGCUUGUUUCGAAAUAAAUAAGAGCGUAUCUAUUGGUUUUUUUUUUGGUCACCAUUGAAAAAUCCACCAUACUGUUUAGUUCAUUGGUUUCACUAGAGGAUGCAUGCAAGGAGGGGUUGCUGCUUUGUUGGAUUUGCACAAGGAGGAUUUUCUGCUCUGUUUUGUGCAAGGAAGAGCUGUUCUUCUCUCAUCCCCAAGGGUGCUUAUAUAUACAUGUAACAUUUUAAUUAUUUUAAUUCUUAGGUAGCAAUUUGAUUUGGAUAGCCAACUUAUUUAAUUUUGAUCAAUUGAACUUUUAGUACUUUCCAUUAUGUAAGUUCUUUAUGUUUUUUGUACUAAGAGGUCAGGCCUUAUGUCCCCCUCUCUAUUGUAUUUGUUUUUUGUGCUAAUAAACAAAAUUGCUCGUUUA